rnacentral:rRNA from 1 species
ACUCUGAAAGAACUGCCAGUGAUAAGCUGGAGGAAGGUGGGGAUGACGUCAAGUCCUCAUGGCCCUUACGUGUUGGGCUACACACGUGCUACAAUGGUAUCUACAACAGGAAGCAAGACUGCGAGGUCAAGCAAAUCCUUAAAAGAUACCUCAGUUCGGAUUGCACUCUGCAACUCGAGUGCAUGAAGCUGGAAUUACUAGUAAUCGUGGAUCAGCGUGCCACGGUGAAUGCGUUCCCGGGUCUUGUACACACCGCCCGUCACACCAUGGGAGUUGGUUCUACCUUAAGGCAAGGCUUUAAACCCUUGACCACGGUAUAGUCAGCGACUGGGGUGAAGUCGUAACAAGGUAGCCGUAGGGGAACCUGCGGCUGGAUUACCUCCUUU